AUAGACUCUGCUUCUGGGUUUGGGGUUCUUCACAGGGGGAGGCUGGAUGAGACUCCCUCUAGAAGAGGAGUGCUGGGGAGUCUCCAGGGAAGAUGGGGUGAAGAUACCCAGAUCAGCAGCAUCUGCAGUGGCCAGUUGAGGUUAGUGGCUUGCCUGUGGGUUAUGAAAUGCUCACAGUACACCUGAGCAAGGCUUCCGAGAAAGAGAGGUGCUGCACCUGUGGCAGAUGUCCUUCUUUGCUGGUGAUGAAGGAGCAUGACGCCAGCACCAGGCUGCUGUGCCUGUCUCCAGCUGCUGACAGAGCCCCUAUUCUGCUGCCUCUGGUUCCUCUCAGCGUUUGGCAUUUCCCGGACAGCCCGUACUCCAUAAGGCCUCAGUGUCUGAAUACGAGGACGGCUUGAACGUUGCCUGCUGAGACUGAAGAAGAACUUGAGUUAAAAUAAUCCUCUCUUUUGUUCCGCUUGGGUUGCUUUUUGUUUGCCUGACAGAUGUUCGGCCCCUGUGCGUGUGCAAGGAGCGGCUCCUCCGCCGGGCCCUCUGAUCCGCCAGCUUAUUGAUUUCUGCCUAUCUGUGCGCCUUGUCUGCAGCCCUUACAGAUGCGAGGGCUGGGGCGGCAGCCCCUCUCCUUCUCACACAAAUAGGGCAAUCCUCUAUUGUCAGGGGGCCAGCGGAGGAGAGCGAGCCUCACUCCCUCUUGAGCCAUUGUGACAAAUUCAGUCGGGUUUUGGGGGGCAGAGGGGAGAUUAGGCGUGAAGCACCGAUGCCCGUUCUGACAGCGUGUGACGCCGCUGCACAGGUGCCUGAGGAAACGGGAAGGAAGAGGCUGAGUGAGGGCACCAAGGGCUCAGAGCUCUGCACUGUGCCUGUGUGUUAUCUCAAGUUCAUAUUUCAGUCAUUUUAUUGGGGAACAUAAGGUUCCAAGUUGUGGCUAGGGAAAAUCUUGAAAACUGCAGUUUUGCUCUGCUCUUCCUAAAUGGCAUUGCUGUCCACUGCUCGAGUUUCAGUGACUGGACUAACCAUGAAGUCACUUCCAUCUUGCAGGUAAUGGCCCUGUAAGCCACAUGUAAUACUUUUCUUCUACCUCGCUUUUUUGGUUUAUUUUGGUUUUGACUUGAUUUUCUGCCUCCUGAGAAAUGUGUCAGGGUGCUCUGCAAGAGAAGCACGCUGCAGAUCUGCAUCCACGCUUUGGCAUACAGUUGCAGGCUCACUUUGCUGCUGACAGCAGCUUGGCUUUUGUUUAACCCUUGACAUAAGCCCGCAGAGGUCUGACCUGUCACCGGCUCUGGUGCUCUGGACGGAGUGUGGAGAAGGAGGCAGUUGUUGUGCACCACUCAGCUGUCUCCCCUCGUUAAGCCCCCAUCCCUGGAAAGCAGUCAUUGUGCGUGCUGCCCAGCACAUCCCUGUGGCAGCAGCUCCUCACUGCUGUCUGUGAUGCACGUGUGUGCAUGGAGGAUGCACUCACAAGGAACACCCCUUUCUCUGGGGCUGGGACAAAGGCCAUGAGAGCAGCUCCAGGGUGUGCAUCUCCCACCCUGCCAACCUUUUGCACCUACAGUGAGCUUGCUGUCUGCAUAACAGCUUUUCUACUCUGUGCCAAGUUGCUCUGCCUCGUUUCCCUCUCUCUGAAGGACAUCAUUUAUUGCUGUGCGCAUCAGAAUCUCCAGAGCUAUGACUCUGUGGUGGCCAGGAAUGGCACAUCCUUUGGCUUCAGUGAUGCUACCAGGCACUGGGUUGUCAUUUACUGCCGUGGUAGCUGGGUACCAAUUUAUUGAAAACUACCUGGUUAUGUGUUAAUGACCUGCUGCUUAACAGAAUAUUUUACCCCACAGAAACAAAUAUAGACACGCUAAAUAUUGCUCUUUGCUCACAAGGGUUGGGGUAGCUCAGUUUGGACUUGUUAAGGCAAAAUUCCCACUCUGACAUGUUGUGGUCUGUUGGAUCUUACUGAGAGGCUGUCAAGAGCUGGCAGAGGUACUUCACAUGGUGUCAAGUGAUUUAUACUAACAUGAAAAGCAGGCAGAGAGUUUUCAGCCUGUGGUGGCCUGCGUUGCAGCUCCUGCUAUGUUAUGGUUACCGGAUCUGAGACAGAAACCACAGCUUGGUGCCUCAGUCCUUGGUGGAUGCUUCCCACCAACAGCUUACUGUGACAGGCCUCAGUCAGAGAAAUGGCUCUGUGUAAUAUCUCUUUGAAUAAGGACUAGCAGUAGGCUGGGAAGAGAGACUUGGACAGCAUAUAUGGGGCAGAACAGAUGUUCCACACAGUCACAUGUGCCCCUGCCCCUCCAUCCUCUCAGUGUACAACAGCAUCACAGGGGUCCCCUUCACUCUCAUGAGUAACAGGAACACAGUGUUCUCUCAGCACCAGCUCAGGUCUUGAGAUUUGCUUUUAUGAUCUGUGUGUCACGCAGUCCAAGAGGGGUGUGUUUAUGGGCCUUUAAUUUGGGGGAAGUAACUUUGACAAGCCACAGUGAAUUCUGGAGCUAGCAACUUUCAUUACUCUGUUAGUCUUGGAUCCUCCUCAACACAUAUUUAAAAAUAAGGCAAAGUGGCUCAUUUGGAAAGAAGUGAUUUGUAAAAUGCUCUCUGGUUUGACAAGCAGGACUUUGCCAUGCCUGUGGGACCUCCUCUGAUGUCUCUUUCAGCGUCAGCAGAAGAGGAUUGUAACCACUGAGAACCACUCAAUGAACACUCUGCAAAGGAAAUUUUAUCUUGGGAGCAUCACCCAAACACUCCAUGGAUUUGAUUGUGUCCCAGUGACAUUUAAGGUGUUGUGCUCAACACGCUGAAACAAGUGAGACCUUGCCUGUAGCAAGCUGUGGGGAUGGCCAGACCCCUAGCUCAGACCAGGAGGGACAGCAGGUGAUGUAUGAACUGCUACCCAAGGGAGGAUGAAGACACAAAAUUCCAAAAUCCAUACCCAAAAUCCUCUGCAUGGAUCACACCUGAAAGUCAGGGCGUGGAGUGAUAAAAAUAUCCUCUGGCUUUCAGGAAGGAAAUGCCUUGUGGGUGUAGGUGGAUCAGUGAAUACAGCCCUGUGUAUCAGGUGGUAUCUGUAGGACAAUGUAACGCACUGCCUGGCACAAGUGAUUUUAUAUAUGUGCAUUUUUGCAAAGGCCAUGCUAUACCUCUCUGUAGGCUCUGUUGGACCAAUAAUACAGUGGGAGUUAUGUACAGCAGUCAUAUUUCAUAGAUGGCACCUGAAACCCAAGCUGUGCCCAUGCUGAGUGUUAGAAACGGAAAAAUCAGUAUUUGGAUUCAUCCCUUUCGCUUGUUUCUGCUUUACUCUCAGCGCCCUUCCCCUUGCUCCACAGCCUGUGGGUGAUGUUGUUGUUUGCAGGGCUGUGUGCGAGCUAUUCUGUGACUUUUCUUUAAAGCAGUUCUUUGAAAUUCUGCUGCUCCUGCAAUGGGGGCUGAGUGCGGUUGCGUCACUGUUGUGAUGGUCUGUCAAGCCAUCUAAUUGGUUUGUCUCAUUAAAACUUACAAUUGGCGUUUACAAGGCAGCAGUCCUGUAGUCCAACACUGUAGCUGGAGCCACACUGGCUGACCAAGCGCUUGCACGUGGGUUUUGGGAUGUGGAUGGAAAACUGCGACUCUCAUGACUUCAUCCCACAGCUCCUAAGAUAAAUCUUGAAUGUAUCAGACCAUCUCUGACUUCACCUUCUCUGUAGUGAGACUAACUGGAGGAAUUCACUUAAAAUCAACAAACAGCUGGCUUUUAAUCUCCAGCUCAGAGCCAAGACUGCUGGGAUCUCAAAUGGGACACUCAAGGGCCAUCCAUUAGCUGCUGUUGGAUAGCUUGGCCCGUAUUGGAUGUUCUUUUGUUGGCAAGAGGGUGGGGAGGAAAUGGUGCAAGAAGAGGGCAGAUUUCUGUAGCCUCUGAUAGAAACUAAAUUCUUGGAGUAGUUUCAAAAUGCAUUUUGGCUUUGAAUGGAAACAUUCGUGAAAACAACCCUCUACCUGUGCAAGUCAAAAUAUUAGUUAAAACACUACAAGUGCAUUCUCUUAUAAGAAGUCUAUUUUUUAUUUUAUUUUUAAUCUGAGCCAACUAGUCAAAAGGACCUCACUUACAUCAGGAGUCUGAUUCAUUGUCCUUUUUAAAUUUAAAUUGCAAUGAUGACUUCUGGCAGCAUAGUUAAAUUUAUCUGAGAGCACAAAUUAGAGUUCAGAGCUCUAGGUUUGUGCAGAGAAUGAAUAUCAGUGUAGAUUUUCUGCUAACACUGGGCUUAAACUAAGCACUGGGUUUAAACUAAACCACCAGAACCUCCUGUUAAAUGUUUGUCAGGAAUUUUAUGGGUUAAAUUAGGCAUGUGAAUGCCAGCAUACAGAUACUGCUUUGGCCACUGUAACUUCCCAGCUCCUCAGAGAAGAGCAUCUUGUCUGUUUGGUGCUUCACUGUGUUUGAUGGAGAGUGUCCCUUUGACAGAGAAGGAUCUUAACAGAGGCGAAGGGCACCACAGCCACUGACUUUAAAGGCUGUAGAGCCAAACAAAAUCCAUUGAGUGGUUUGGAUGUAACAGCCUGCACUGAAUCAAGAGUGUCUCUUUUCAAGGCUGUGAGCUCAACAGCUCUGCACUGAGAGCCUGGAGAAACGAGGAGGAAUCGAGCUACGUACCAGCUGAAAACACUUUGCAUCACCCUUUAAAAUGUUUUCACUUCAAAUGUUGCGGGUUAGCUCAGGGUAAGCACUUCUCUUGGCUUUUGAGAAAAGCCAUAAACCCCUAGACUUUGUGACUUAUUUUAAAUCUGAGAAUGAAAACACAUUGCAUGGCCUUUCCAAAGACAAAUUAUCUUUAAUUUUUAAAAAUCCCAUCUAAUUGUCAUUAAUCAAGCCAUCCCCUGUGCUAAUAAGAUGAAGGCAGGGAAUAACAUGCCAUUCCAGCUCAGGCAGCUGUUGUGCAUGUCAACCAGUUUCAAAACGCUUGGCAAAAGUUGUAAAUGCAGUUCUAAUGAGAUCGGCUUGUCUGCAACUAGCAAACACAUACCAGCCGCACCAAAAUGUUUGUUUGUUGUGGGACUAAGUGGAGAUUGUGUUAACUGUUCUGCCUUCAAGGGUACAUGUCAGGAAAAGUUCAGAUCAAGCACAAGGCAGUGACACUGGAAUGCAGCUUUCUCUUAUAUAAUCCCUGGAAAAAAGCCUCCACCUCAGUUCAUGGUUUUUGUUGUGCAUUAGGGGCAUUUCCCCUUGAGGACUCUUGACUUUCUGGUAUCUCAGUGCACGAGGUUCUCUGCAGAGGCUGCAUAAGCAAGCUGCAAACAGAAGUGUGUUUCCUACUGGGAUGUUUGAAGAUGGGCUCCUGGUAGGAGCAUUCUUCCAAGGCAUUCUACAGCAUCUCUCACCUGCCAGGUAUCUCCAGCUGGUUAUGCCUCCAUCAGCUGCCCAGGAUGGAGAGGAGGUGCUCAGCUGAGCCACCCAGGGGCUCCAGGGUGGGAGCACAGCCUUGAAAGAGCAAUGACCAGCUCAAUCAUCCACCCAGCCUGACUGCCAAGCUCAUCACAGCCAGUUCCACAAAGCCUGGUUAAACAGAGCAUUGGUCCAGAUUGGUCCAGAGGGGCUGCAAUCCUGCUCAGCUAAGCCACCUCAGUGGGCCAGGCACUGUGGGUGUCACAUACCCGCACCUGGCUGGGCAUCAGCACGUUGGUGACUUCUUGUAGAACCAUCCAGGAGUUCACCAAACCUGUGCAGCUGCAGAAAACUAAGCAGCAGAAAUACCUAUGCUUCAGAGAAGCCAAAUCUUAGGAAAGUCAAUAGCACUUUACCUCAACCAUGAAGUAUCCAUGUAACCACAAGUUUCAACACCUUGUUCCUUUUCCUCAGCACAAAAGAGAAUCCUAUUUUUUAACUUUCCUUUUAUGGUUCUUUGAGCUUAAGCACAAAGGACUGGUUAAAUUUCUGGUACCGUGACUACUCUCUUGCCAGUAGCCCUUUAAUCUGUGUCUUGUGCCAAAGAAUAUUAAUUAUUGUAGGCUGCAGUGAAGUCCAUCCCUACCCCCACUUGAGCCUCUGAAAUGAACAGUGAAGUUGAACUUUGCCAGCAACUGUUAGGAAAGGGGCCAAGAACAGCCUAACAGGAAAGAUACUCAGGAUUUUUUGUUUGUUUUUUCUGCUAAACCAUGUUUUUGUGAUUAUGAAUACUUUGUUGAAAUUGCUUGGAAAAGGAAGUACAGAGAAAAUGGUCCAUACAAUUAAACUAACUACAUAUUAGUGUUGAAAGAAUAUAAAACUGGUCCCACUCUGUUGCACUCACACAGACAAAACCCCUUCUCAGAAGGAAUUUGGCUUGAGAAGAGAGAUCUGGAGACAAAUCUUAGUUAACUUCAGGCCCAUGUGCCUUAUUGUCUGGUUUAUGACUGCCCCAAAUGGCCUAAAAGCAAAGGACAUUCACACUAAACAAAAGCAAAGGCUGAAAGAAAGAGAAAAGAGGAAUUUGAAAGCUGUCAUUUCCAAACCCCUUCUACUCAAAAGUUGAUUCCUGACUUUCCAUAAGGAACCCUGAAUAAGACAGCAGUUACUUUAUACUCCUAAAAACUAUCUUCAACUAGACUGGAGAGAAGCAGUACUAUUUUAAUCUGCUUGGAUUCACAUGAAUGCUGCUUUAAUCAGUCCCCACUUGCUUCUGCCACCUUUCCCCAAGUUUAGGUUUGUAAAAUCCUGAAUUGAUUGCUAAAUAUACAGAAAGAAAUUGCCAAAGCAGCUUUCUAGGAUGUAUGGUUAGUGUAAAAAAAAGCUUUAUCAAAUGUGGAAAAUUACAACUUUGUCCCCUAAGUUAAUAAAUACUUGAGAAUAUAAAGGAGUAAGAUGCAGUAGGACCACUUUAAACUCCUGUACUUCAUGUAGUGUUUUAGAAUUUCCAUUUAAAUGGCUUUCUCUAGUCAGCAGCCUGGUUCUGGCUCCCAUCACUCUAAGGCAUAUGUAGUGUUACAGGCAUAUGUCAGUGUAAUAGGAAAAAUGUCACCCUAGAGAGAGAAAGUUUGGUAUUUGGUUUACAUAACAACAUCUUAUGAUUCAGCCUCAAUAAAGUCUUGGUUUUAGUUAAAAGAAAAUUAAACUUAUCCUUGACUGAUACAGUGAACUAAGCUUUUAAAAGCAUAUAUGCAAUAUUUAUGUCCUGUCAAGCACUUUCACUUUCCAUAGUAACAGGCCCUCUCUUCCAUACUUAAAAUGGAUUUGAUGCAUAAACAAUAUUGCUGAAAACACGUCCAAAAUUAAUGAAGACGACUUUGCAUUACAAAACUAGUUGUUAAGGCCGAUUGUGACCUUGUACAGUCCCUUACACAAGCAAGGGUACACAGCCAUUCGGCUGAGAUGAAAAUAAAGCCUCCCCUCUCCUCAACAAACAGUACCCAAAGCGCAUUACAGCGGGCACU